CUCACGAGUUCAAGUAGUCCUCCCGACUCAGCCUCCUAAAGUGCUGGGAUUACAGGCUUGAGUCACUGCGCCCGGCUGACUUUCUCUAAUUUAAUAUCCUCAGUUUUGGGGCACUUCGUUCAUGGAAACAGCUUUGCUGUAAAGGCAGUUGGGCAUUAGGGGACUCCUGGUUGGGUCCUUGGGGGGGUCUCUGGGUGCUGUGUCACCACAGGAGGGUCUGGCCUUGGGUCCUUUUUCCCCACCGCAGGCAGAGCUGUGUGCUGCAGAGAGCAGGGACGUUGGUGUCAUCAGACGUGGGCACAUGCUGCUGCUUCCUCACUCUCCAAGCCUCAGUCUUCUCAUCUUUAAAAUGGGAUCAAUAGCACCUGCUUGGAGGUUGUGCUGGGAUCACAUUAGAAACCAUUGUGGGCCAGGUGUGGUGACUCAUGCUUGUAAUCCCAGCACUUUAGGGGCCGAGGUGCGAGGAUUGCUAGCGCCCAGGAGUUCGAGACCAGCCUGGGCAACAUAUCAAGACCUUGUCUCUCCUAAAAAUAAGAAACCAUUUUAUAUACCAUGGCCCAGGGUGGGUACCAGUGGCCCCCCCUUCCUUGUCACCCGUGGGGCCUUCAGGCCUGUCUCCUCUCUCUCCUCUGUGCUGGCCAUGGUGACACCAGGUUCUUGGAGCUUGUUUCACAUGCUGGGGCCCUGAACCCACACAGCCUCAUCCUCUCCAUGGUGGCUCCAGGUGGGGUUGCUGCGCCCCAGCCUCAUGCCACAUUGCGUGGAAGCCGGGACUAACUUCAGCCCCGUGCGAUUUUAUCCAGAGUGGAUGUCUCAUCUGAUGUGACUGCAGCACUGGCAAAUUUUCCAGGUGAUGAAUGCCCCUGCCAUGGGUCUAAAUGCUGCUGUGUUCUGGGAGCCCAGCCUUUAUCAGCCCAGCCCACCUGGCAUUCUCUCUGAGUGGAGCCUUGCCCUGGUGCGCCAGCCUGCCUUCAGCUCUCUGAACACCAUCUUGCAAAAUGCCAUAAAGACACUUCUUAAAACACAUCAUUGAAUUCUCGUUCCCCGCUGCACUUUAUGGUUCUGGCGGAGCUUGCUUCCUCCCGCUCGGCUUUGGUGCCUGGGAGCCGCUGGAAGCUGCGUCCGGGGUCAGGCCUCUCCAUCAAAAUUUACUGCGAACAUCUUUUACAACACCUGUCUCACUGAGCUGUGAAAUACUCUCGCCUCUUCAAAAAUGAAAGGAAUGAAAAUGCAUGUUUUACAUCUUCUAUAUAAAAAAAAAUAAAACUCA